UUUGAGUGUGCUUUCAAUUUAGCAUUCUGCCUUAUUAUAAUUUUUCGUCUCCUAUCAUUUAUCCACGUGCGGUUAACACAACGCCACCAUUUACUGACUUAUAUAUAUAUAUAUACAUAUA